rnacentral:tRNA from 1 species
GUUUUUGUAGUAUAUAUUAACAUACCUUACCUUUUCAAGGUAAAAAAGACUUUAAGUCCUUAAAUA